GCCGGCGACCGGCGCAAGGGUGCGUAACGCGUGAGCGACAUGCCCGUAACCGGGGGAUAACCGAUGGAAACGUCGCCUAACCCCCCAUAACACAUGAAGCUGCAUGGCAUCAUGUUGAAAACCGUGGUGGUUACGGAUUGGCUCGCGUGACAUUAGGUAGACGGCGGGGUAACGGCCCACCGUGCCGACGAUGUCUAGGGGUUCUGAGAGGAAGGUCCCCCACAAUGGAACUGAGACACGGUCCAUACUCCUACGGGAGGCAGCAGUGAGGAAUAUUGGUCAAUGGGCGGAAGCCUGAACCAUCCAUGCCGCGUGCGGGAAGACGGCCCUAUGGGUUGUAAACCGCUUUUGAGAGGGAGCAAUAAGGGCCUCGUGCAGGUCUGAUGACAGUACCUUUCCAAUAAGCAUCGGGUAACUC
rnacentral:rRNA from 1 species